rnacentral:lncRNA from 1 species
CUGUACUUCUAGUGACUCUACUGUUUGAAAUACUAUUUUUCUUUAAUCAAGUUUUAUAAAAAUGUAGAAUUUGGGUUUUUUUUCUUUCCAAACUUAUGUUGUUAGCAUACAACACACAUUGUUGCUGUCUUUUGUAGAAAGUGCAAAUACCACUAAUAGAGUGUCUCAGAAGGUGGAUUGAAAUGGGGGAAGAUGGGAUCUUCUGUCCUUAUUUUUGAAGAUUAUUCUUGGUUCCCAGGAGAGAUUUUCUGACAUUCACACAUGUCAGCCACUUUGGCUUAGAAGCCUUACAACAGAGAGAAGCAAAACUUCAUGUCUUCUUUCCUGAUGCCAUCAGCAUAGACUUGACUUCCUGAAAUAGUAAUGAUGUGGCCUUGGCCACCCAAAACUCCUGUGUCGGGUAACAGUACUCAGGCUUUCUGGUGAUAAUAUCAAGAUGGUGUUGCUCAAAAGACCAAGAUUCCUGUUUGUAGUUUGUGGAUCAUCCCAUCGAUGAUCUUAGAGUUUUCAGUUCCUUUCUUCCAUGUCAGAGUUGACCUGUGAAAAGAUCUUACACGCCUCUUGUGAAAUAUCCACCCCUUCUGAGAACUCCGCCUUUUCAAAACAGCAACAGAAGACUGUUGACUUUUGGGGGAGGGGAGUUUGAAAGUUGUAAAAUGUUAUGGAUUGUCAACCAUGUCCUCCUGGAAGUAACUGGUUUUGAAAAGUAUCUGAUAAAGCCGAAUACAAAUUGGCUUGGUGGUGGGGGAUCACUUCCUACCCAAAGUCACAGGUGGUGGGGGAUCACUUCCUACCCAAAGUCACAGGUGUAUUCUUCAUUGCAUUGUAAACAUUUUAUAGUCUUGCUUUUCACAUUUGUCUUUAGUCUGCUCUGAACUGAUUUUUGUGAAAAAUAGGAGAUAGAAGUUCAAUAUAAUAUUUUUUCCAUGUGGAUAAGUGGUGGUUGUCCCAGCACCAUUCUCUGAAUACUUAAUUCUUUCCCACUGAUCUAUAACACCAGCUCUUU